GUGCUCACUUUGGCAGCACAUAUACUAAAAAUUGAAAUGAUACAAAGAAGAUCAGCAUGGCCUCUGCACACAGAUAACACACAAAUUCAUGAAGCAUUCCAAUAAAAA
ensembl:snRNA U6 U6 spliceosomal RNA